AUCACCACCCAAGCAUCCCUAUAAGUACAAGUCUCCACCUCCACCAUCACCACCCAAGCACCCUUACAAGUACAAGUCUCCACCACCCCCACCAUCACCACCCAAGCACCCCUACAAGUACAAGUCUCCUCCACCACCUCCACCAUCACCACCCAAGCACCCCUACAAGUAUAAGUCUCCACCACCCCCACCAUCACCACCCAAGCAUCCUUACAAGUACAAGUCUCCACCACCACCACCACCAUCACCACCCAAGCACCCCUACAAGUACAAGUCUCCUCCACCUCCACCAUCACCACCCAAGCAUCCUUACAAGUACAAGUCUCCACCACCACCACCAUCACCACCCAAGCACCCCUACAAGUACAAGUCUCCUCCACCCCCACCAUCACCACCCAAGCACCCUUACAAGUACAAGUCUCCACCACCACCUCCACCAUCACCACCCAAGCACCCUUACAAGUACAAGUCUCCACCCCCACCAUCACCACCCAAGCAUCCCUACAAGUACAAGUCUCCACCCCCACCCCCACCCCCACCCUCACCACCCAAGCACCCCUACAAGUACAAGUCUCCACCCCCACCCUCACCACCCAAGCACCCUUACAAGUAUAAGUCU
rnacentral:lncRNA from 1 species